CUGCGGCAGGCCUAACACAUGCAAGUCGAGGGGUAACAUUGGUGCUUGCACCAGAUGACGACCGGCGCACGGGUGCGUAACGCGUAUACAAUCUACCUUUUGCUAAGGGAUAGCCCAGAGAAAUUUGGAUUAAUACCUUAUAGUAUGCAGACUUCUCAUGGAGAUUGCAUUAAAGAUUACGGCAAAAGAUGAGUAUGCGUCCUAUUAGUUUGUUGGUGUGGUAACGGCACACCAAGACUACGAUAGGUAGGGGCCCUGAGAGGGGGAUCCCCCACACUGGUACUGAGACACGGACCAGACUCCUACGGGAGGCAGCAGUGAGGAAUAUUGGACAAUGGAGGCAACUCUGAUCCAGCCAUGCCGCGUGCAGGAAGACUGCCCUAUGGGUUGUAAACUGCUUUUAUACAGGAAGAAACACUCCCUCGUGAGGGAGCUUGACGGUACUGUAAGAAUAAGGAUCGGCUAACUCCGUGCCAGCAGCCGCGGUAAUACGGAGGAUCCAAGCGUUAUCCGGAAUCAUUGGGUUUAAAGGGUCCGUAGGUGGAUAAUUAAGUCAGAGGUGAAAGUUUGCAGCUCAACUGUAAAAUUGCCUUUGAUACUGGUUAUCUUGAGUUAUUGUGAAGUAGUUAGAAUAUGUAGUGUAGCGGUGAAAUGCAUAGAUAUUACAUAGAAUACCAAUUGCGAAGGCAGAUUACUAACAAUAUACUGACACUGAUGA
rnacentral:rRNA from 1 species